rnacentral:rRNA from 1 species
UACGUAGGGUGCAAGCGUUGUCCGGAAUUAUUGGGCGUAAAGAGCUCGUAGGCGGCUUGUCGCGUCGGCUGUGAAAACCUGGGGCUCAACCCCGGGCCUGCAGCCGAUACGGGCAGGCUAGAAUUCGGUAGGGGAGACUGGAAUUCCUGGUGUAGCGGUGAAAUGCGCAGAUAUCAGGAGGAACACCGGUGGCGAAGGCGGGUCUCUGGGCCGAUAUUGACGCUGAGGAGCGAAAGCGUGGGGAGCGAACAGG